rnacentral:rRNA from 1 species
GACGAACGCUGGCGGCGUGCCUAAUACAUGCAAGUCGAACGAACUCUGGUAUUGAUUGGUGCUUGCAUCAUGAUUUACAUUUGAGUGAGUGGCGAACUGGUGAGUAACACGUGGGAAACCUGCCCAGAAGCGGGGGAUAACACCUGGAAACAGAUGCUAAUACCGCAUAACAACUUGGACCGCAUGGUCCGAGCUUGAAAGAUGGCUUCGGCUAUCACUUUUGGAUGGUCCCGCGGCGUAUUAGCUAGAUGGUGGGGUAACGGCUCACCAUGGCAAUGAUACGUAGCCGACCUGAGAGGGUAAUCGGCCACAUUGGGACUGAGACACGGCCCAAACUCCUACGGGAGGCAGCAGUAGGGAAUCUUCCACAAUGGACGAAAGUCUGAUGGAGCAACGCCGCGUGAGUGAAGAAGGGUUUCGGCUCGUAAAACUCUGUUGUUAAAGAAGAACAUAUCUGAGAGUAACUGUUCAGGUAUUGACGGUAUUUAACCAGAAAGCCACGGCUAACUACGUGCCAGCAGCCGCGGUAAUACGUAGGUGGCAAGCGUUGUCCGGAUUUAUUGGGCGUAAAGCGAGCGCAGGCGGUUUUUUAAGUCUGAUGUGAAAGCCUUCGGCUCAACCGAAGAAGUGCAUCGGAAACUGGGAAACUUGAGUGCAGAAGAGGACAGUGGAACUCCAUGUGUAGCGGUGAAAUGCGUAGAUAUAUGGAAGAACACCAGUGGCGAAGGCGGCUGUCUGGUCUGUAACUGACGCUGAGGCUCGAAAGUAUGGGUAGCAAACAGGAUUAGAUACCCUGGUAGUCCAUACCGUAAACGAUGAAUGCUAAGUGUUGGAGGGUUUCCGCCCUUCAGUGCUGCAGCUAACGCAUUAAGCAUUCCGCCUGGGGAGUACGGCCGCAAGGCUGAAACUCAAAGGAAUUGACGGGGGCCCGCACAAGCGGUGGAGCAUGUGGUUUAAUUCGAAGCUACGCGAAGAACCUUACCAGGUCUUGACAUACUAUGCAAAUCUAAGAGAUUAGACGUUCCCUUCGGGGACAUGGAUACAGGUGGUGCAUGGUUGUCGUCAGCUCGUGUCGUGAGAUGUUGGGUUAAGUCCCGCAACGAGCGCAACCCUUAUUAUCAGUUGCCAGCAUUAAGUUGGGCACUCUGGUGAGACUGCCGGUGACAAACCGGAGGAAGGUGGGGAUGACGUCAAAUCAUCAUGCCCCUUAUGACCUGGGCUACACACGUGCUACAAUGGAUGGUACAACGAGUUGCGAACUCGCGAGAGUAAGCUAAUCUCUUAAAGCCAUUCUCAGUUCGGAUUGUAGGCUGCAACUCGCCUACAUGAAGUCGGAAUCGCUAGUAAUCGCGGAUCAGCAUGCCGCGGUGAGUACGUUCCCGGGCCUUGUACACACCGCCCGUCACACCAUGAGAGUUUGUAACACCCAAAGUCGGUGGGGUAACCUUUUAGGAACCAGCCGCCUAAGGUGGGACAGAUGAUUAGGGUGU